GCCCAGGGUAAGUCGGGACCUAAGGCGAGGCCGACAGGCGUAGUCGAUGGACAACGGGUUGAUAUUCCCGUACCCGCUUUGAAGCGCCAACGCUGAACCAGGUGAUGCUAAGGCCGUGAAGCCGUCCCGGAGCCUUCGGGCAAAGGGAAGUGGUGGAGCCGCCGGUCCAAGCCUGUACUAGGUGAGCGAUGGGGUGACGCAGGAAGGUAGUCCAGCCCGGGCGGUGGUUGUCCCGGGGUAAGGGUGUAGGCCGAGUGAUAGGCAAAUCCGUCACUCAUUAAGGCUGAGACCUGAUGCCGAGCCGAUUGUGGUGAAGUGGAUGAUCCUAUGCUGUCGAGAAAAGCCUCUAGCGAGUUUCAUGGCGGCCCGUACCCCAAACCGA
rnacentral:rRNA from 1 species